UGGGUAACCUGCCUCAAAGAGGGGAAUAGCCUCCCGAAAGGGAGAUUAAUACCGCAUAAUAUGUUUAAGUCGCAUGACUUUAACAUCAAAGGAUUUUCUUUUAGAACUUCCACUUUGAGAUGGACCCGCGGCGCAUUAGCUAGUUGGUGAGGUAACGGCUCACCAAGGCAACGGUGCGUAGCCGACCUGAGAGGGGAUCGGCCACAUUGGAACUGAGACACGGUCCAGACUCCUACGGGAG
rnacentral:rRNA from 1 species